AUUGAACGCUGGCGGCAGGCCUAACACAUGCAAGUCGAGCGAGCGGCGGACGGGUGAGUAAUACCUAGGAAUCUGCCUGGUAGUGGGGGAUAACGUUCGGAAACGGACGCUAAUACCGCAUACCAUCGGAUGUGCCCAGAUGGGAUUAGCUAGUAGGUGGGGUAACGGCUCACCUAGGCGACGAUCCCUAGCUGGUCUGAGAGGAUGACCAGUCACACUGGAACUGAGACACGGUCCAGACUCCUACGGGAGGCAGCAGUGGGGAAUAUUGCACAAUGGGCGCAAGCCUGAUGCAGCCAUGCCGCGUGUAUGAAGAAGGCCUUCGGGUUGUAAAGUACUUUCAGCGAGGAGGCGUUACUCGCAGAAGAAGCACCGGCUAACUCCGUGCCAGCAGCCGCGGUAAUAC
rnacentral:rRNA from 1 species